rnacentral:lncRNA from 1 species
GUCUAGUGAAAGUAAAAAGAAGAAAAACAGAGCUAAGCCAAGGAAAUGAUUUCUUUCCCACCUACAAUGCAUGAAAAGAAAUUAACAUGAAAAGGGUCUGAGGAAGACAUUAAUAUUUUGAUAGUGGCAGAAGAAUGUUAUUUACAAAAAUAAUGACAAAUGUUGAAGAGAAAAUACAGGCUUCCUAGCAACUAGACCAAAGAUAAGAUGCUGUUGAAUUCAAGAUAGACAUUUGGAAUAUACAGUUAGCUGUCAUUUGAACACAGGCCCAUGGCACAAGUUCAGAAACGUAAAGUUACAGAGAAAAUAAAGACCCCCAGAGCAAAAUCACCACAGUCUCCAUGGAAAUCAAUUGGUUCAUUCUUCGUCUUAAGAGUCCAGCAUUCACUCAACAAACAUCUUAUGCUGCCAGGUUUCUCUAAUGCAGCAGAACUUGAUCAUAAGAACCCAUCACUGAGAACAUCAUCUAUUUUGCCCAUAAGACUUGGAGAACUGAAGCAGGAACUAAGAUGGAGAUGUCCUCACCACUAACUAGCCCCUGCAGUGUUUGGAAGAUGCUAUUCACGCUGCUAGAUGAGAGAGAACAUGAACAGCCUUAUCCGGCUAUGAACUGUAGACUAGGCCCAGACAGAAGGAUAUGCCACAGCAGGAGACAGGAUCCAGAAUGAGAAUAGACAAAAGACAUUUUCAAAAGUCCAGGUUCACAGCUUGACAGAAGCCUUCACACAGAAAGAGCCAUUGCACAUUGGACAGAUGAUCCCAGAAUGGAAGUUUCCAGAGGAAAUAACAGUCAAUAAACAGGGGUUGAUCCCAGGAUUCUGUGCCUGCUAAGCAAACAUUCUGUCACAGAGCUACACCUCCCGUUCCAGAUGAAUUACUGGUGUGAUGAAUUUGACUUCAACUUAAUGACACAACUUGUAAUGUUACCAAAAAAAAAAAAAAAAAAAGGAAUAAUUCCACAAGGCAAACAUUCAAACAUAAAUCCACGAAGUUGAACGUCAUCAGCGAUCUGAUUCAUUUUAUGAUUAGAAUAACAUUCCUUAAUAAUUCUUAUAUAACAUGGCUUGAGAUACCCAAAGUACAUAUUUUCUAUCAACACAAAUGCUUCUUCACCAUGUAUCCUAGGAAAAAAAUCACCUAGGGGUGAUUAUUAAAAAAAAAAAAAAAA